AUUGAACGCUGGCGGCAGGCCUAACACAUGCAAGUCGAGCGGAGCGGCGGACGGGUGAGUAAUGCAUAGGAAUCUGCCCGGUAGUGGGGGAUAACGUCCGGAAACGGGCGCUAAUACCGCACACUAUCAGAUGUGCCUAGGUCGGAUUAGCUCGUUGGUGGGGUAAAGGCCUACCAAGGCGACGAUCCGUAACUGGGCUGAGAGGAUGAUCAGUCACACUGGAACUGAGACACGGUCCAGACUCCUACGGGAGGCAGCAGUGGGGAAUAUUGGACAAUGGGCGAAAGCCUGAUCCAGCCAUGCCGCGUGAAUGAUGAAGGCCUUCGGGUUGUAAAGUUCUUUCGGUAGCGAGGCGUUAGCUACAGAAGAAGCACCGGCUAACUCCGUGCCAGCAGCCGCGGUAAUAC
rnacentral:rRNA from 1 species